rnacentral:rRNA from 1 species
GACGUAGGGGGCGAGCGUUGUCCGGAUUCAUUGGGCGUAAAGCGCGUGUAGGCGGCCUUGCAAGUCGGGUGUGAAAGCCCUCAGCUCAACUGAGGAAGCGCGCCCGAAACUGCAGAGCUUGAGUACCGGAGAGGAUGGCGGAAUUCCCCAAGUAGAGGUGAAAUUCGUAGAUAUGGGGAGGAACACCGGUGGCGAAGGCGGCCAUCUGGACGGAUACUGACGCUGAGACGCGAAAGCGUGGGGAGCAAACAGG